rnacentral:rRNA from 1 species
GAUGAACGCUGGCGGCGUGCCUAAUACAUUCAAGUCGAGCGAACGGACGAUAAUCUGGCUUCUCUAAUGUUAGCGGCGGACGGGGUAGUAACACGUGGAUAACCUACCUUUAACACUGGUAUAACUUCGGGAAACCGUAGCUAAUACCGGAUAAUAUUUGGAACCGCAUGGUUCAAAAGUGAAAGACUUUCUUGCUGUCACUUAUAGAUGGAUCCGCGCUGCAUUAGCUAGUUGGUAAGGUAACGGCUUACCAAGGCAACGAUGCAUAGCCGACCUGAGAGAGUGAUCGGCCACACUGGAACUGAGACACGGUCCAGACUCCUACGGGAGGCAGCAGUAGGGAAUCUUCCGCAAUGGGCGAAAGCCUUUCGUAGUAUCGCCGCGUGAGUUCUGAACGUCUUCUGAUUGUAACACUCUGUUAUUAGUGCAGAACAGAUGUGUAAGCUCAUGUGCACCUCUUGACGGUACCUACUCAGAAAGCUACGGCUAAAUACGUG